UGGUUAUCUUUCUUCUCUUCCUUAAAUUACAAUUGUUUAAAAUGCAUGGUCUCUUUUUUUCCCCCCUUUUUUUGUCCCUCUGGGUUCACAUGCUGCUUUAUAACAUUACACUUUGUUGAAGUAAAUGAAAUUAUUUGAUCUGAGUUUGCCUUUACUAUAAUUCAAAAGCAAAGAUAUAGGGCCUGCAUGAAAGAAAUACAUUGUCUUUCGUUCCAUUAUUAUUUUCCUUGAUCUGAAUCAGUUCACAAUAAAAAAAGAAAAACAUGCUGUUUUGUAUGUAUCCAGGAUAUCGAGAUGAUAAAAAAGAAGCUUGAAGAACUAGAGGGCAAGUUUAAUCCUAAGCCAAUUGUUGUUGUAACAGAAAAGGU
rnacentral:lncRNA from 1 species